rnacentral:rRNA from 1 species
GAUGAACGCUGGCGGCGUGCCUAAUACAUGCAAGUCGAGCGAACAGAUGAGGAGCUUGCUCCUCUGACGUUAGCGGCGGACGGGUGAGUAACACGUGGAUAACCUACCUAUAAGACUGGGAUAACUUCGGGAAACCGGAGCUAAUACCGGAUAAUAUAUUGAACCGCAUGGUUCAAUAGUGAAAGACGGUUUUGCUGUCACUUAUAGAUGGAUCCGCGCCGCAUUAGCUAGUUGGUAAGGUAACGGCUUACCAAGGCAACGAUGCGUAGCCGACCUGAGAGGGUGAUCGGCCACACUGGGACUGAGACACGGUCCAGACUCCUACGGGAGGCAGCAGUAGGGAAUCUUCCGCAAUGGGCGAAAGCCUGACGGAGCAACGCCGCGUGAGUGAUGAAGGUCUUCGGAUCGUAAAACUCUGUUAUUAGGGAAGAACAAAUGUGUAAGUAACUAUGCACGUCUUGACGGUACCUAAUCAGAAAGCCACGGCUAACUACG